AUCCCGAAUUAUAGGCACCAAUAAAAGGUUUGGAUAUGUGGUGAGGAAUAGUAGUUAAGUUAAACCGUAAGGUAUAAAUUUGAUACGAAAUGCCGAUUAGUCAAUUUUCGGCAAUUUCUUUUGUCCGUGUAAAAUCAUAAAUCGAAGCUAAGGGGUAAUAAUUUUAUAAAUUACAAAUUAUGGCCUAGAAUAAUUGUUGAUAAUGUGAGGAAUUGUUUUGGGCCAUUUGAAGGUAAUUAAAAAAAUUUCUAUCGCCGAUAAUUUCAGUUUUUAACGAAAACGAUCGGCGAAACUUUUGAAGAUAUAGACAGGAAUAAUUUUGCCUUAAACUAGAAUUUAAAUGCUAAAUGAUGAUAUAAAGAGUUCCUAAAUAUGAUAUCAUAUGAUAGGGCAAUAAAAUGUUACAAGAUAAUUAAUUUAUUUAAAAACUAACUAAAUAAUUAAAUAAUGAUUAGAAUUCUCUAGAGAAUUCUUUUGUCUAUCAUCAACUCCAAACCCCCCCUCAUUUCAGCCACAAGCACGUCCUCCCCCUCUCCAUGGAAGACCAAAAGCUUAAGCUUUUUAAUUUCCAAAUAUUUGUCAUUUAAUCGGUAAAUCGAUCGGGUAAUCUUGUAUCCGCCAGCAAAUCGAGCGAAGGAGCAUAUAGUGCGUUUUGAUCACAAAGGAGUGGAUUUAGAGGGUAGAGAAGUAUCAAGGUGAAAUAGGCUUAUGUUCAUAAGCCUGCGAGGUUAGAGUCGACAUUAUGUCAGUGGUGUUGCGCAGCUUUGCAUCUUUGGCGAGUCACUGGUGGUCAACUUGGUUUAGUAGUCGUGGCAUGUUAUGUAAUAGUUUAAUCUUUAACCUUCCGCUGGAUAAAUGUUAAGUCUUUAAAUGUAAUAGAUUUUAAUUAUGCUUUUAAGCUAAAAAGAAAAAGGAAAAAUUUCAGCACGGGUUUUCGAUACUGAAACGUGACAUCACUUAUUCGGUGGGUUACCUACCGGGUAAGGGGUGUUACAAGUUUUGGUAUCAGAGCCUAGGUUUAGGCGGUUAUGGAAAGAAGUGAUUCAGUAAAGUGUGUAGAAACAUGCCACAUAGGUUUAAUUGUCUGUUAGUACCAGUGACUCGAUGCAGCUGCUUAUAUCUAAAGUGGAAAGAAGUUAACAAGGUACGGGACAUAGUUUCCCGUGUGACCGAGAAAGAUGUUAUAUGGGACUGGCCACCCCAUAUAGCUCUAAUCUCGGUAGCGUCGGUAUGUGUAAAAGAUUUAAAAAAAAAUUCAGGGAGGAUGGGUCUGAAAAUGUUGAUGAAAAGUAUGUCCUAAUGAAAGAUACUAAUAAAUAUAUGCAGAUUAUGAAAGAGUAUAAGUAAAAGAGAAGAAAAUGAGUUAAAGGAAUGAUAUGGAAAGAAAGUAAGUUAUAGACUAAGUGACCAUCAUGAUAUAAAAGUGUAACACGAAAAUUCACAAAGGUAUGUGGAUUGUCUGAUAUAAGAUGGAUUAAGAGUCAUAAAGUAAUAUCCUAUAAUGAUAAACAAAAGUAUAGAAAUAUGUGAAAGGAAAUGUGUUUGGCAAAAUGAUAAAUAUUGAUAUGAAAACAUAUGAAACUAUAAGGCAUUAUAUGAAUAAAACCAUAAAUGUGCGAAUGAGAAAAUGCGACGAAUAAGAAAUAAAUGAUAUGAUCUGAACAUGUGUGCCCCUAUAUGGAUUACAUGUGUACUUCGAAUCGGGCAAUAUGAGAUAUGACGUGAUGUGAUGGAAAUAUGAACUGAAUAAUCGUGCAAGACAAUAAAUUAUAUGAUUGGAAAUGUGAAAUCCGUGAGAAUUAUGUGUGCGCUCGAAUACGAGCUAUAUAAAUGUUAGAACCGAAUGAUGAUUCAGAAAUGAAAUGAAAAAUGGGAAUGUAUGCUCUAAGCGAGCUGUAUAGUAUAUGAUAAGAUAUGUCUAAAAAUAUGAGUUUGAAAUGAGCUAUAUGAUAUAAAAUGGUAUUCUGGUUGAAAGUGUUGUCUGUGAUCUGUAAAUGUGUUAGUUAUGGAUAAGAAUGAGUUUUGAAAAUAAAUAUGGUUGUUGAUGAAUACUGACUUGAUAUUUGAAUUAUGUUGUGAUUUGGUGGUUUGAUUUGAUAAUCUGUGAUUAACAUUGUAUCUUGUUGGUUUUGGGGAAGCACUGGUUAUAGAGAAAACGCUGCCCAAUUUUUGCUAGAAAUUGAUCAGAUAAAUUAAUACGAAGUUGUGGUAAAUAAACUGAUAAGUGAUAAUACAUGAAGAGAAUGAUGUUACAUGAUGACUUAAGAAAGGAAAAAGGGAAAAGAUAAGAAGUGUUGUGAAUGAUAAUAAAGGAAAACGUAAUGAAAUGAUGAUAUGUGGAAAGUGAAAUGCACCCUUCGUCGGCUAUAAGUGCCCGAAUAGGGACUAUGCAAUUGGGACUAUACAAUAUAUGAUGAGUAUGUGAAUUAUACAUAUGCGUGAUGAAUAUGAUAUGUGCGCCUCAUGUGGACAAAGAAAAGAUGCAAAUAACAUGGAAAUUACUAUGUAAAGAAAUGAUAAUGUGACAAAUGUGCUUGAAAUAUAUUAGAGAUAAUGAUAAUGUUAUUAUGUGAUCGCAAAAUGUGGCUAUGUGUUAAGAUGUGAUUAUGUGAUUUUGUAUGUCAUUCUGUGUUUGGUUAUGGAAGUGAGGAUACGCUAUGUAGAUGAGGAUAUAGGAUGUCGUGGAAUGGCAUACGUAUAUGCGACGCUUAUAGGAAUGAUGUAAACCCGAGGGAAUUUCGAGGACGAAAUUCCUUUUAGGGGGGAUGAGUUGUAACAUCCCGAAUUAUAGGCACCAAUAAAAGGUUUGGAUAUGUGGUGAGGAAUAGUAGUUAAGUUAAACCGUAAGGUAUAAAUUUGAUACGAAAUGCCGAUUAGUCAAUUUUCGGCAAUUUCUUUUGUCCGUGUAAAAUCAUAAAUCGAAGCUAAGGGGUAAUAAUUUUAUAAAUUACAAAUUAUGGCCUAGAAUAAUUGUUGAUAAUGUGAGGAAUUGUUUUGGGCCAUUUGAAGGUAAUUAAAAAAAUUUCUAUCGCCGAUAAUUUCAGUUUUUAACGAAAACGAUCGGCGAAACUUUUGAAGAUAUAGACAGGAAUAAUUUUGCCUUAAACUAGAAUUUAAAUGCUAAAUGAUGAUAUAAAGAGUUCCUAAAUAUGAUAUCAUAUGAUAGGGCAAUAAAAUGUUACAAGAUAAUUAAUUUAUUUAAAAACUAACUAAAUAAUUAAAUAAUGAUUAGAAUUCUCUAGAGAAUUCUUUUGUCUAUCAUCAACUCCAAACCCCCCCUCAUUUCAGCCACAAGCACGUCCUCCCCCUCUCCAUGGAAGACCAAAAGCUUAAGCUUUUUAAUUUCCAAAUAUUUGUCAUUUAAUCGGUAAAUCGAUCGGGUAAUCUUGUAUCCGCCAGCAAAUCGAGCGAAGGAGCAUAUAGUGCGUUUUGAUCACAAAGGAGUGGAUUUAGAGGGUAGAGAAGUAUCAAGGUGAAAUAGGCUUAUGUUCAUAAGCCUGCGAGGUUAGAGUCGACAUUAUGUCAGUGGUGUUGCGCAGCUUUGCAUCUUUGGCGAGUCACUGGUGGUCAACUUGGUUUAGUAGUCGUGGCAUGUUAUGUAAUAGUUUAAUCUUUAACCUUCCGCUGGAUAAAUGUUAAGUCUUUAAAUGUAAUAGAUUUUAAUUAUGCUUUUAAGCUAAAAAGAAAAAGGAAAAAUUUCAGCA